rnacentral:lncRNA from 1 species
AUACAUAUCAAUCAACCUGUUUUCUAACACUGAGUUUGGCGCUGAGCUACUAUAAUAUCUCUUGUAUUUGUGAUUGAUUUAUAUUGCUUACUUUGUUAAUUCUGCUAUCUUUAUUUAUUAUCUACUAAGUAUUUCACAAACACUUCUAAGAUUAUUUUUGGGCACAUCUUGUUUAAGUUAAUUUUUAAGAAAGUUAAUUCACCCCUCCCUC